GCAACAAGCUUUAGAACUAGCUUUGGAUCGUGCAGAGUAUGUCAUUGAAAGUGCCCGACAGAGACCUCCUAAAAGGAAAUACCUAUCAAGUGGAAGAAAAUCUGUAUUUCAAAAACUUUAUGACUUGUAUAUUGAAGAAUGUGAAAAAGAACCUGAAGUUAAGAUUCCGAGACCAUUCGACUGCCCUAUGAAGAAGGAGAGUUGCUUGAAUAUUUGGAUGCAGAAGAAUUACCUCCUAUUUUGGUUGAUCUCCUAGAAAAAUCUCAGGUUAAUAUUUUUCAUUGCGGAUGUGUCAUAGCAGAAAUACGUGACUACAGGCAGUCCAGUAACAUGAAAUCUCCUGGUUACCAAAGUCGGCACAUUCUCUUACGUCCAACAAUGCAGACUUUAAUUUGUGAUGUACAUUCAAUAACAAGUGAUAACCACAAAUGGACCCAGG
rnacentral:ncRNA from 2 species